rnacentral:rRNA from 1 species
UACGUAGGGGGCAAGCGUUGUCCGGAAUCACUGGGCGUAAAGGGCGCGUAGGCGGGUCGUUAAGUCAGGGGUGAAAUCCUGGAGCUCAACUCCAGAACUGCCUUUGAUACUGGAGAUCUUGAGUUCGGGAGAGGUGAGUGGAACUGCGAGUGUAGAGGUGAAAUUCGUAGAUAUUCGCAAGAACACCAGUGGCGAAGGCGGCUCACUGGCCCGAUACUGACGCUGAGGUGCGAAAGCGUGGGGAGCAAACAGG